UACGAAGGGGGCUAGCGUUGCUCGGAAUCACUGGGCGUAAAGCGCACGUAGGCGGACUCUUAAGUCAGGGGUGAAAUCCUGGAGCUCAACUCCAGAACUGCCUUUGAUACUGGGAGUCUUGAGUUCGGGAGAGGUGAGUGGAAUUCCCAGUGUAGCGGUGAAAUGCGUAGAUAUGGGGAGGAACACCGGUGGCGAAGGCGGCCACCUGGACGGUAACUGACGCUGAGACGCGAAAGCGUGGGGAGCAAACAGG
rnacentral:rRNA from 1 species